CCCUACGGGGCGCAGCAGUGGGGAAUAUUGCGCAAUGGGGGCAACCCUGACGCAGCAACGCCGCGUGCAGGAAGAAGGUCUUCGGAUUGUAAACUGCUGUCGCAGGGGAAGAAGACAGUGACGGUACCCUGUGAGAAAGUCACGGCUAACUACGUGCCAGCAGCCGCGGUAAUACGUAGGUGACAAGCGUUGUCCGGAUUUACUGGGUGUAAAGGGCGCGUAGGCGGGAUAGCAAGUCAGAUGUGAAAACCACGGGCUCAACCUGUGGCCUGCAUUUGAAACUGUUUUUCUUGAGUACUGGAGAG
rnacentral:rRNA from 1 species